rfam:Myotis davidii contig187773, whole genome shotgun sequence.
GAGACACCCUUCUGGGGCAAGACUUGCUUCAGUGGGGCUUUGGUGCUCACUGAUUCUGCUCCCUGAGUGUGUCCCU